rnacentral:rRNA from 1 species
UAGGGAAUCUUCGGCAAUGGGGGCAACCCUGACCGAGCAACGCCGCGUGAGUGAAGAAGGUUUUCGGAUCGUAAAGCUCUGUUGUAAGUCAAGAACGGGUGUGAGAGUGGAAAGUUCACACUGUGACGGUAGCUUACCAGAAAGGGACGGCUAACUACGUGCCAGCAGCCGCGGUAAUACGUAGGUCCCGAGCGUUGUCCGGAUUUAUUGGGCGUAAAGCGAGCGCAGGCGGUUUGAUAAGUCUGAAGUUAAAGGCUGUGGCUCAACCAUAGUUCGCUUUGGAAACUGUCAAACUUGAGUGCAGAAGGGGAGAGUGGAAUUCCAUGUGUAGCGGUGAAAUGCGUAGAUAUAUGGAGGAACACCGGUGGCGAAAGCGGCUCUCUGGUCUGUAACUGACGCUGAGGCUCNAAAGCGUGGGGAGCGAACAGGAUUAG